AAGUGUUACAGCUAUUGUAGAAUUUGCCUAGCAGGUUUUCCAGUCCUCACUAGAAGACCCUC
rnacentral:snRNA from 1 species